GCUGAUAUGGCUCAGUUGGUAGAGCGCAGCCUUGGUAAGGGUGAGGUGGGCAGUUCGGAUGUGGGUAUCGGCACCG
rnacentral:tRNA from 1 species